UGCAAAGCCUGUGUGCAAGGAGAGUG
rnacentral:piRNA from 1 species